rnacentral:rRNA from 1 species
UACGUAGGUGGCAAGCGUUGUCCGGAUUUACUGGGCGUAAAGGGGGCGUAGGUGGAUAUUUAAGUGGGAUGUGAAAUCCCCGGGCUUAACCUGGGGGCUGCAUUCCAAACUGGAUGUCUAGAGUGCAGGAGAGGAGAGUGGAAUUCCUAGUGUAGCGGUGAAAUGCGUAGAGAUUAGGAAGAACACCAGUGGCGAAGGCGACUCUCUGGACUGUAACUGACACUGAGGCUCGAAAGCGUGGGGAGCAAACAGG